AAGGAUCAACCUUUUAUGAGGUAGUGCACUCCAUAUUAAUUGACCGUUGGACUAAGAGUAGCACUCCUCUCCAUUGUUUAGCUCAUUCUUUAAAUCCUAGAUAUUAUAGUCAUGAAUGGUUAAGUGAAGAUUCUAAUCGAGUUCCUCCACAUCAAGACAUGGAACUCACUCGUGAAAGAUUAAAAUGCUUUAAGAGGUUCUUUCUUGAUGUGGAUGUAAGGAGGAAAGUGAAUAUUGAGUUUGCCAACUUCUCGGAUGGAAGAGAAGGCUUUGAUGAUCUUGAUUCUUUAAAUGAUAGAGGUCAAAUGGAUCCAAAAGCUUGGUGGCUAGUUCAUGGCAUUAAUGCUCCAAUACUUCAAAAGAUUGCCCUUAAGCUACUUGCGCAACCUUGUUCAUCUUCUUGUUGUGAAAGGAAUUGGAGUACAUAUUCAUUUAUCCAUUCUUUAAAGAGAAACAAGAUGACACCACAUAGAGCUGAAGAUUUAGUAUUUGUUCAUAGCAACCUACGACUUCUCUCAAGGAAUACUCCACAAUAUCA